rnacentral:misc_RNA from 1 species
CACUCAUAGGAUUCAUGAGUGUCUCUCUGAAAUAAAACGAAAGCCACGCAUACCACAACGCCAAGGACAAGACUCACCUCAUCGAGUGCGACAGCGGCAUCUGCUCUCAGAAGGGUACUGCACAUACCAUCGGUUGUCUUAUCCCCUUUAUUCUCAACCGAAUUUUGUAACAUUUUGUUUGUCCUUGCCUCACCUCUGCCGUAGCGCUGCUGCGCUGUUUACGUGUGUGUGUGUGCUGCGUGUCACGCCUCGUGCCUUAAUCCUUUCCUUUCUCAACUUCCGCCACCACCAUAGAGUCGUUUAGUGUGGCCCUGGAGGGAGACAGUAAGUGCGAAGUUGUCUUCUGCCUCGUUUCUGCCUCUGCGCCUCUGCGAGGCCCCUCCCUUCAUCCCCCAUUUGCGUUUUCUCUGCUCGCUGCGAGUUGCUCCUUUCUUUUUUUAGUCUCAUCGUUUGUGCGUUCACUUGGAUCGUGUGCUUGUCGGUCGCCCCCUCUCUUUACGAGCGUCUCGCGAGAUCCUCUUGGCCGCGUGUGAGAGAGCCGCUGCGCGUUCGAGUAGGAGGCAGAGAACAAGAAAGGAGCGACAGGCAGGCACAAACUGAGAAAAGCAGGACGCGGCGCUUAUCCGUGUUGCACGCCACUUUCGACGUGGUGUGUCAACGGGGGCUUUCAUUUCGCGUUUGUUCUUAUCCCCUCUACUCGUGGCUUUUCUCUUUGUUGCCAUCUCUAGUGCUGACCUCUCCUUUCUCUCACUCUGUGGCUGUCCCUCGCGUGCAUGUGCGGCUGAGUGGCGGAUUUGGUUCAUUGGUAAAGUAAGCGGGUGCUUCCUUUUUUUUUUGCUGUUGCUGUUCUGCUCGCGUGCACACGCGGACCAGAAUCUUAAGGAACAGGAGAGGGUAAGGAGGGUCUUGAAGCUGACACGCGAACUUCUGGCUGCUGGAGCGCACACCAAAACACUCCCCGUGGAUCCACUGUCGACGUACUAAGUCAGCCACUCCUAUUCCCUUCACGCCUUUUUCGAUUUCUUGCGUGUGCUCUUGCUUGGUCUGCAUUCGGCUUUUUGAAGGCGUUUUCCUGCUAUUUUUUCCGAUACUCGCGCACCGUCUCACACUCCACACCCCGCACGCCAGAGGAAGCCGCAUAAAGCACACGCACACGUACAAGCGAAAACAAAACGCACAUGCACAGAAGGAGGGGGCGUGCACGAAAAAAAGGUCUAAAGAAGUCUGCAUCUUGUGUGUUUCCGUGGCAGCCACGAAGCUGAAAGGCAAAGCCGCGUUAAUCCGACAGCUCUCUGCUAAGAUGAGCGCGUCAGCGAACGCGUUUCCGGCGCUGUCGGGAGGCUUCAAGUUGCCUUCUGUGACAGCUGCGCCGAAAAAUGCUGUGGCUCGCAUGCCGUCCCGCGUCGUGCAUCAGGCACGCUCUUUGCCUUCCGUCACGCGCGACUUGGUUGCGCCGACGCCGUCAUCGACGCCAUCGCUGUACCCACAGAGUCUGUGGUGGGACGCGCAGCAGGGCAAAGAGGACACGGACAAAAUUACGCGCAGGCGCACGUACCGGGUAAGCGACUAUCCUCCCAUUAUCGUGGGCAAGUAUGUGACGGACCCGACAGGAAAGGACUUUUCCAACCCACACUACGUGCCCGCAGGGACGGCGGCGCGCUCUCGCUCGUCGUCGCGCGCCGCAGCCAGGAGCGGCGCAAGUGUGACCGCUCUCAGCCGGGUUUCGAGCUCCGCGACGACGUGCUCCACCUGCACUACGACCUCCUCGACCGUUCGCGGCCCCGAGGAGGACGAGGAAAACCUCGCGCUACGCGUCACUGCAAAGCGGAAGCUAUUUACGGUGGUGAUGCCCGUCUACCCGUCCUCCGCUGCGAGCUUCUUCUUCCCGACAGCAUACGUGCAGUCAUCCCGCGAUGCGGCGGAUUGGCGAGGACCACCUAAGAAAAUCAACGAAGAUCUGCACCCCAACGACCGCGCUAAUUUCUCGCUCUCCUACGUUUCCGUUCGCGAGAACAACCUUAAUCGAAUGGGGUUGUACAAGAUAGGCCCCGGCGCCGUCGCCUUCAGCGCGGUCAUCAAGGCCUUCGAGGCGGGCGGGCUCCGGUACACGGACUCCAACAAAGACUUCAACAUACUGUGGGCCAAGCGGGCCACCGUCUAUACCCUAUCCUCGCUGAACGCGUACCAAAAGGUGAACCACUUCCCCGGCACGUGGGGUGUGGGCCGCAAGGACCGGCUGGCCUACAACAUCCGCCGCAUGCAGCGGCACUUCGGCGACGAUGCCUUUGACAUUGUGCCCAAGUCCUUCCUCAUCCCUCAAGACGAAGCGGAGCUGCGCCGCGAUGCGGAGAUAGACCCCGGCACCCCGCAGAAGCCGCUGAUCUACAUUCUCAAGCCCGGCGCGUCUAGCUGUGGGCGAGGGAUCCAUCUCUUCAAGGGCGUUCCGCCCAUGCCGCGGGGGGCGGGGCGCGAGAAGGAGAUGGUGUGUCAGCGGUACAUUGGCAACCCCUUGCUCAUCUAUGGCCGCAAGUUUGACCUGCGUCUCUACUGCGUUGUCACCUCCUUCGAUCCGUUGCGGAUCUACCUCUUUGAUGAGGGUCUCGUGCGGUUCGCGGCUAAGAAGUACAGCGGCCCUGACCAGGACCUCGACAACAUCCACGUGCAUCUCACCAACUACUCCGUUAACAAAACGGCGGAGCUGAGCAAGGAAAGCAACGGCAAGGACUACGAGAGUGACGACCCACUUGACAUCAAGUGGUGCCUCUCCGACUUUAAGCGGCACUUGGCGUCGCAUCACCCGCUGGGGCUGGCUGCCUGGGACCGCAUCCAGGCCGAGUGCGAGGAUGUGGUGAUAAAGACGUUCCUCAGUAUCGAGCACAACGUGGUGGAGGAGGUGACUCGCAACUGCGCCGAUAGAAGCGGGCGCAACUGCUUUGAACUGUUUGGGCUAGACUUGAUGGCGGACGACAAUCUCAAGGUGCGGCUGCUGGAGGUUAACAUCAUGCCCUCGCUGGCGACAGGCAGCUCUCUCGACAAAGCCGUGAAGUCCCGCAUGCUGUCGCACAUGUUGACGCUGGUGCGCGUCAUUCCGUAUCGCCGGGAUAGUCAGCUGGACCCCAACAACACGGACGGCAUCUACGUGCCGCGCGGCAUUCAGCGACAGGCUGGAGAGCGCACCUACAAAUUUGGCAAUCACCCCUUUCCGAGCGCUCGUAUUGUGGAGCGGCCUCUGCUGACCGCCUUUAACGACCCCGGCAACGAAGACUCGUACCUGUCCAUGGCCGAGUCGCUCAUGCUGCGCGAAUAUGAGGAGGAGCUGCAGUGCGCCGGCGGCUUUCGGUGCAUCUACCCUGUUGGCCGCACCGUUGACAGAUAUCUUCCCUACUUUUUGCAUGGCGUCCGUCGCAGCAACUACCUGCUGGCGUCGGCGGCGGUGAUGAAGUCGAAGCAGCCGCCGAACGAGAAGCUCUUCGAUUAAACUGGAGAUGAUACACACUCUUGCCUAGGAGGUGCAGCCCGCAUUGCGUAAACUGAGAAGGGCAGCCAAUGUAAUGGUGUGAGGUGGGUGACGGCGGUGUGCGAUGAGGGUGCGAGAGAAGGGUGUGACGUGUGGUGUGAAAUGCAGGCUGAUGGCCCCCGUGCUUCUGUGUUGCCAUGGGGGAUAGUAAUGUGGGCAUCUGCUUCUACAGCGCACGUGCUCCUCCGUCGAAGUAAGUGCGGUUCACAUGGACGGCAAACAAGAGCGAUGCACUCGCAGCAUGGGAGCUUCUUCACGGCAGCACCGACGUCUUGAUUAAAGCGGACACGUACAAUCCCAUCGACCUUUUGUUUGCACCUUCUUCACGUACACACGCACGUGCUGGUGCCCCUGUUCUCCUUUUCGCUGUGUGGGCGUGCCCUCAUGUUGACAUUUACACUCGUGCGCGUGUGCCGGCAUGCGCAGGUGUGCGGGCAUUGCCAUCCUGCUCAGGUUGAGCGAUGGAUGACGGUGAGAGGGUUGUACCUGUAUGUGCGCUGUUUGCACGAUUUGAAAUGUGUGAGUUCGCUCGUCACGCGCGCUUGUUUCUGGACCCUCAUUCAGCCCAGCUCGAGCACACCGCGAUCGAUGGAGGGCAAGCUACACCCAUCACUCAGCACAGCCACCGUAACGACGGCAUCGCUCAGCAGUCAAAGACGCUUCUGCGUAUGAGCGCAAGCGUGCAUCUCUUUGCGUCGCUGCCGGGUAUACAGUGCGACUAGGUUGUUGCCCUGGCGCUCCGUCUUCCUAAUUACUUUUCUGUGAGUAUAGAUAAAGGUGGCGAUCUCGUACCUCCCUUCUUUUGAUCCGAUGCGCGUCGAUCGGUUUGGUGGCGGCGCGCCUCUGCGCGUGUGUAGACUGUUGUGAUGAGUUGUUCUUGGGCUCUUUUCUCUAUUUCGAUGUGUGCUUUAGCAGGUCACGUUAUCAUGUCAAUAGCCGUUCUUCGCCGCAACUUCUCAACGCCGUGUGCUGCCUUUCCAAGUGUUUCUCCCCGUAUCUGUGAAGAGGUUUCGCACGCACUUCCUACGGAACUCGGUCAUCCCUCUUUUCGACGCGUGUCCUGUCGUCGCCUGGGCCUGCACGCCUUCGCCAUCUACACCCUCAGCUAUCAUGCUCGUCUCUCUCCCUUCUUCUUCCAUCUCUCCCUGUAUUUGCAUGUUAG